AUGUCAUCUGGAACCACAAGGUUGCUGGCCUCCUCGCCGAGCCCCCCUUCAUGCAGCAGGUCCUCCCAGAAAUCAUCAUUUAGCUCUCCACUGGGCCUGCCUCUCAGUUGCUCCGAACGGCUGGAAGCAACACUCUGCUGCACCUCAGCUCCCUUUGUAUCGACGGACGAGCUUUCAAGAUCGGAUAUGACACCGUUCACGAAUGAAUCCACUGGCUCCUGCUGCUCAAACAUUACAUGUGACCCUUGCUCCAGGGUAGAGCCAGUGCCCAUGCUAUCGACGGCUUCAGGUCCCUGGUCGAUGCGGCGCCGUCUUUUAUUUGAGAUGGCAUCUUCAAGCUCCUUCCUCAUCUCACUCUGGGAGAUCAGCUGGCGUAUGAAAACGGGAUUCUGCAUGACUCGCGCCAAGAACGACAUCAUCUGCUGUUGCUUCUGCUCGGUUCCUUGCAGCCUCUUUUCCAUGGCUUGCAGACCUGACCUUGUGUUCUGUUGCUCCUGCCUGAGCUUGACCACUUCAGCCAUCAAGAGCUGCUUGUCCCUUUUCAAAUGA
rnacentral:rRNA from 1 species